ACGAACGCUGGCGGCAGUGCUUACUACAUGCAAGUCGAGCGGGUUAGCCUUCGGGCUAACUGCAUUCAGUGGCGAACGGGUGAGUAAUGCAUCGGUAACGUGUCCUUCAGCUGGGGGAUAACGCUCGCGAAAGCGAUCGCUAAUACCGCAUACGGCUUCUCGCAUGAGAGAAGCGGGGAACACGGAAGGGCAUCUGUGCUAUGAGGGGCGGCCGAUGUCCGCAUUAGCUCGUUGGUGGGGUAAUGGCCUCACCAAGGCGACGAUCGGUAGCUGAUCUGAGAGGAUGAUCAGCCACACUGGGACUGAGACACGGCCCAGACUCCUACGGGAGGCAGCAGUAGGGAAUCUUCGGACAAUGGGCGCAAGCCUGAUCCGAGCAACUGCCGCGUGCGGGAAUGAAGGCCUUUCGGAUUGUAAAGCUCUGUUAGCCGGGACGAAAGCGCCACGGAGUAACAGCUCGUGGCGGUUGACGGUACCGGCGGAAUAAGCACCGGCUAACUACGUGCCAGCAGCCGCGGUAAUACGUAGGGUGCAGAGCGUUAAUCGGAAUUACUGGGCGUAAAGCGUGCGCAGGCGGUUCGUUGUAGUCGGCUGUGAAAGCCCGGGCUCAACCCUGGGAAUGGCCGUUGAAACUGGCGAACUGGAGUGUGGCAGAGGGGGGUGGAAUUCCGCGUGUAGCAGUGAAAUGCGUAGAGAUGCGGAGGAACACCGAUGGCGAAGGCAGCCCCUGGGCUGACACUGACGCUCAGGCACGAAAGCGUGGGGAGCAAACAGGAUUAGAUACCCUGGUAGUCCACGCCGUAAACGAUGUCGACUGGGUGUUGGGGAAGCGAUUUCCCGUUACCGUAGCUAACGCGUGAAGUCGACCGCCUGGGGAGUACGGCCGCAAGAGUUAAAACUCAAAGGAAUUGACGGGGACCCGCACAAGCAGGUGGAGUAUGUGGCUUAAUUCGAAGCAACGCGAAGAACCUUACCUAGGCCUUGACAUGCCCUGACCGUCCUAGAGAUAGGGCUGCCCUGACGGGGCAGAGGCAGCACAGGUGCUGCAUGGCUUGUCGUCAGCUCGUGUCGUGAGAUGUUGGGUUAAGUCCCGCAACGAGCGCAACCCUUGAUCCUAGUUGCCAGCACGUAAGGGUGGGCACUCUAGGAUGACUGCCGGUGACAAACCGGAGGAAGGUGGGGAUGACGUCAAGUCAUCAUGGCCCCUUAUGACCUAGGGCUACACACGUACUACAAUGGCCGGUACAACGGGAAGCGAAGCCGCGAGGUGGAGCCAAUCCCUAUAAGCCGAGCUCAGUUCAGGAUUGCAGUCUGCAACUCGCCUGCAUGAAGUCGGAAUCGCUAGUAAUGCGCGAUCAGCUACGGCGCGGUGAAUACGUUCCCAGGUCUUGUACACACCGCCCGUCACAUCACUGAAGCCGUUUACACACCGAAGUCCGGUGGGCUAACCCGCAAGGAGGCCAGCUGCCGAAGGUAUGGUAUGAUGAUUGGGAUG
rnacentral:rRNA from 1 species